rnacentral:rRNA from 1 species
AUUGAACGCUGGCGGAAUGCUUUACACAUGCAAGUCGAACGGCAGCACGGACUUCGGUCUGGUGGCGAGUGGCGAACGGGUGAGUAAUGUAUCGGAACGUGCCCAGUCGUGGGGGAUAACGUAGUGAAAAUUACGCUAAUACCGCAUACGAUCUAUGGAUGAAAGCGGGGGAUCGCAAGACCUCGCGCGAUUGGAGCGGCCGAUAUCAGAUUAGGUAGUUGGUGGGGUAAAGGCCCACCAAGCCAACGAUCUGUAGCUGGUCUGAGAGGACGACCAGACACAAUGGAACUGAGACACGGUCCAAACUCCUACGGGAGGCAGCAGUGGGGAAUUUUGGACAAUGGGCGAAAGCCUGAUCCAGCCAUUCUGCGUGCAGGAUGAAGGCCCUCGGGUUGUAAACUGCUUUUGUACAGAACGAAAAGGUUUCUACUAAUACUAGGAGCUCAUGACGGUACUGUAAGAAUAAGCACCGGCUAACUACGUGCCAGCCGCCGCCGUAA